rnacentral:rRNA from 1 species
AUUGAACGCUGGCGGCAUGCCUUACACAUGCAAGUCGAACGGCAGCACGGGUGCUUGCACCUGGUGGCGAGUGGCGAACGGGUGAGUAAUACAUCGGAACGUACCUUAUCGUGGGGGUUAACGCAGCGAAAGCUGUGCUAAUACCGCAUACGCCCUGAGGGGGAAAGCGGGGGAUCGCCAGACAUCGCGCUAUUAGAGCGGCCGAUGCCUGAUUAGCUUGUUGGUGGGGUAAAAGACCACCAAGGCGACGAUCAGUAGCUGGUCUGAGAGGACGAUCAGCCACACUGGGACUGAGACACGGCCCAGACUCCUACGGGAGGCAGCAGUGGGGAAUUUUGGACAAUGGGGGCAACCCUGAUCCAGCAAUGCCGCGUGAGUGAAGAAGGCCUUCGGGUUGUAAAGCUCUUUUGUCAGGGAAGAAACACCGGCUCUAACACAGUCCGGGAAUGACGGUACCUGAAGAAUAAGCACCGGCUAACUACGUGCCAGCCGCCGCGGUAA